CGGCCCCGCGGCUCGGUGUGCGGCGGCGGCGGCACCGGGAGCGGCGGCGGCGGCGGCGGCGGGGGCUGGGGCGCGUCGGCCCCGCAGCUGCGGCUCGUUGCGCUCCGCUCGGCCCCGCUCCGCCCGGCCCGGCCCGGCCCGGCCCUUAACAACGCCGCGGCCGCAGCGCGCCGCAUGUGAGCCGGGAGGGCACCGCGACCGCCCCGCGCCGCCCCGCACCGCCCCCGCGCACCGGCCCCGCACCGGCCCCCGCUCCCGGCCCCGCGGAGCUCCGGAGCAGCCGGCACCCCCGCCCCCGGCACCCCACCAUGAGCAACCUCAACAAGGACACCGAGCACACCAACGGCAGCGGCAACGUCGAGGAGGAGGUACGGACGCUGUUUGUCAGUGGCCUUCCUGUGGACAUCAAACCCAGAGAGCUUUACCUGCUCUUCCGACCAUUUAAGGGUUAUGAAGGGUCACUGAUCAAGCUAACAUCAAAGCAGCCAGUUGGUUUUGUGACCUUUGACAGCCGGGCUGGUGCUGAAGCAGCAAAGAACGCCUUAAAUGGCAUCCGCUUCGACCCAGAGAACCCCCAGACCUUGCGGUUAGAGUUUGCUAAGGCCAACACAAAGAUGGCCAAGAGCAAGCUGAUGGCCACACCAAACCCCACCAAUAUCCACCCUGCCCUGGGCGCACACUUCAUUGCACGAGACCCCUAUGACCUGACUGGAGCAGCUCUCAUUCCAGCAUCCCCAGAAGCAUGGGCUCCCUACCCACUGUACACCACGGAGCUAACCCCCGCCAUCCCCCAUGCCGCGUUCACGUACCCAGCGGCUGCUGCUGCAGCUGCUGCUCUUCACGCUCAGUGAACUCCAGCCAUGAUGCCAGCGCAGGCUAGCCCUGAAGCUCAGAGCUGUCCCUGGAGAUGGGACACCCUAGUGAUGCCUUUUUGCAGCUAGUGGAGUGGCUGUACUACAGCUCCAUUCCUAGAAGUGUUAAGCAUGAUGGCAGCCCCGUCUGGAAAGACUGAUGCGCUGGUAUCCUCCCUCCGAAGCUACCCAGCAAGGAUGGAAGUCUCGUCAGUUUUGUUAGCUCGUUAAGUCUCUCCUAGGCUCCUGUUCCUCCUUCCCGCCUCUCCGCGGAGGGACGUGCCAGGGACGAUCGCUCAGGCUCCUUUUGGUUCGGUUUGCGGCCGAGGCGCCCGCGGGGCUGCGGGCCUGCCCGGCACGGGCGGCGAAGCCACGGCGGGGGCCCCCGCGCUGCCUCCGGCCCCCCGCCCGGGAGGGCUCCCGACUGCCCCUCGCUGCCCGGCCUCGCCGCGUCCCGCAGCCCGCCUCUCCCCUCCCCGACCCCCCGGGCGGCUCGGCUGAAGGAAACGAAAGGCCAUCGGUUUUGCAUGUUUUUCUGGCAUGAAUUAAAACACUUAACUUGUGUAUGUGUGAGUGUAAGUUUGUUUGUUCUAGCGUUUGUGUAACCGUAGCAACAGGUCUUGGCCCGCGGAUUGAUCCAGCAAGGUUUUCGUCUUGCUUCGGUGAAGACUUGGCUUUUGAGAAAUACUAACUGUCCUUGUCUCACCCCUUCUUCCACCUCUGCUGCCCUCCCCCUUCCCAGUACGACCAGAAGAAUUUGAAAAAUGUUUUUUUUCCUUUUUUUUUUUUUUUUUUUUUUUCUUCAAGUACGAUGCACUGGGUUUCUGUUCUCAUCCAUUCUCCGGUUUUAAAGUCAGGGUUAUUAUAUUUUUCCUCAGACUUCUAUAUAUAGAACGGCUGUAAGAUAUCUAACUUUUUUCUUUGCCUUUUUUUUUUUUUUUUCACAUCCUUCUGAUUGGAGAGAAUCCAGUCCUGCCAAAUAAUCAGCCAUCCUUAUGGGAAUACCGAACAAAAAAGUACGAGUAUUUUUGUACCAUGUGUAAUAAGGAAAUAUUUAUGCAUCAUAAAGAAUUUCUUGUGUGUUUGUGUGCAAUUAAUUAUUAUUAUUAUUAAAGAGAAAUUGUAAUCCUGUAAGAUAAGUUAAUGUUUAGUUAAAAAAGCUUGAAAGAGAAGGGUUGUCUUCUGUAACAAUGAUUCAGUCAGGCAUAGUAAACAAGAAAUUGUGCAAUUUUUGUUUUAGCAUCUUAUUGCUUGGUAUUGAAGUGCUUUAAGUAUUAUACGACCAUGGCUGUCUUGCUUGUAUUAAAAGAUUUGAGAAUAAGUUGCUAUAAUUGCUGAUCCUAUGAGAAUGUGAAACUGGAUAAUAUAUGAAAUGCAAAAAAAAUAUAUAUAUACCCAGAGGCUGCUGUGACUCUUUUCUGUAA